UUAUCUGCAUUUUUAUAGUACGUACUAAUUCACUAAUGUAGUUAUUAAUUUACCUAUAUGAACAAUACUCAUAUAAUUUACUUUUAAUAUCCAAAGUAAUCAUAUACAUUUUUUUAUUUACAAUAUCACACCUAUGGGGCAGGUAAACUAUUUUUACAGUAUUUCUAUUCUAAGUAUAUGUACUAACAUAUAGAUAAGUAAAUUAUUUCCUAUGAAAA
rnacentral:lncRNA from 1 species